AGCAGCCGCGGUAAUUCCAGCUCCAAUAGCGUAUAUUAAAGUUGUCGCAGUUAAAAAGCUCGUAGUUGAAUUUCGGGGUUAGUAGGUUGGUCAUGCCUCUGGUAUGUACUGGUCUCACUGAUUCCUCCUUCCUGAUGAACCGUAAUGCCGUUAAUUUGGUGUUGCGGGGAAUUUGGACUGUUACUUUGAAAAAAUUAGAGUGUUUAAAGCAGGCUUACGCUUGAAUACAUUAGCAUGGAAUAAUGAAAUAGGACGUAUGAUCCUAUUUUGUUGGUUUCUAGGAUUGACGUAAUGAUUAAUAGGGAUAGUUGGGGGCAUUAGUAUUCAAUUGUCAGAGGUGAAAUUCUUGGAUUUAUUGAAGACUAACUACUGCGAAAGCAUCUGCCAAGGAUGUUUUCUUAAUCAAGAACGAAAGUUAGGGGAUCGAAGACGAUCAGAUACCGUCGUAGUCUUAACCAUAAACUAUGCCGACUAGGGAUCGGAGAUGUUAAUUUUUUAAUGACUCAUUCGGCGCCUUACG
rnacentral:rRNA from 1 species